AAUGUAUUUUAUAUCAACAAUCCACUUUACAAGGUGGUAAACCAUAGUAUAACGAGCCUCUUUAGCUCACAAUCUUAUUAUCGCCACAAAUUUAUUACAUACUCCGUAGAAAGUCUCAUAAAAAUAACACAUGUAGGUGGGCAAAAAAAUGGCAAUGCACUAAUCCCUCAAAAUAGGUGUCUUAUUUUCCUUGUAGACUCGGAUAUUUAAGGAAAACUACAUAUUUUUCCUCUUCUGAUUGCCCAUAGAAAGUACACAACUUUUCCAGCUUUAAUUAGAAUGGUAAUACAAGAAAAUGAAACUAUUUAUGAUAUUUACUUGGAAGAAAAAAAAAAA